UUGCUCCUAUUUAUUAUAGGGAAAUUGGGGUCUAUAACCAAACAAAAACUUCUAAUUCACGCUCUAACCAAUUUUCCUAACGGAUCUUUACACAGCGUCUCUUUUACAUAUUAAAACUGUGUUGCCCUUUAUAUCAACCGGUGAAACCUGAAGAGAAAAUUAAAUAAAAAACUUAAUUAUUAUUGGUAAAAAGUAAAUCGUGGCUUAUCUCCUUUCAAAUAUUCAAUUUUAUUUAUCUUGGUAACUUCGUCGAAGGUGAAAGGUCUCCGGCACCGAGUGGAGUAAUUGCCUCGCAACCGCCUCGCCUCCGCUUGCUUCUCUGUGAUUUUUGACAUCUCCUUCGUCGUUUUAAACUUCCUUCUCUACUCAGCUUCUGAAAUCAGGGCACAAUCAAAACUUCCUUCUCUACUCCGCUUCUGAAAUCGGGGCACAAUCGACGGCGUUAACCUUGUACCGCGCCUACCAACCCCGGUGCCUUCUCGACUUCACGCAGUCCAUAUCUCUCGGAUCUCUUCACCGACGGCAUAUUCCUCCAUUCCAGCCGUUGGUGGAGUCUCUGCAUUUUUGGGUGGUGCUUUGCCCCAGGUGGAAGCUACUUCCACCCAACCUCAUGUUGAUUCCUCUGUUGUUACCGAGGCACCACACCAAGUUGAAUCAAAUGUCUCAGACACAAGCACUGAAGCAGACCCCGGUUCCGUUGCCAAAACUAUCCUGUUCCAACCAAGUGUUUCGCCCUCAGAUCUUCAUCAGGUGAUCUCAAAGAACUUGAUUUAUUAUAGGUGAAAUGGUAUGGUCUUAUGCAUACUUAUGUGUAUCUCCC